rnacentral:rRNA from 1 species
CCUACGGGAGGCAGCAGUGGGGAAUAUUGGACAAUGGGGGCAACUCUGACCCAGCAACGCCGCGUGAGUGAUGAAGGUAUUCGGAUUGUAAAGUUCUUUUCUAAGGGAAGAAGAAAGUGACGGUACCUUAGGAAUAAGCCUCGUCUAACUACGUGCCAGCAGCCGCGGUAAUACGUAGGGGGCAAGCGUUAGCCGGAAUGACGGGGAGUAAAGGGUGCGUAGGUGGUUUGACAAGUUAGUAGCGCAACUCCGGGGCUCAACUUCGGAACUACUACUAAAACUGUUGGACUUGAGUGCAGGAGGGGCAAUCGGAAUUCCUAGUGUAGCGGUGGAAUGCGUAGAUAUUAGGAGGAACACCAGUGGCGAAGGCGGAUUGCUAGACUGUAACUGACAUUGAGGCACGAAAGCGUGGGGAGCAAACAGGAUUAGAUACCCUAGUAGUC